AGAUGUAACUGUGGGAGAGUCACCAAAGAGCUUAACAGCCUCCUUGAUAGCCGUCAUCACUGUGAAGCCUUGAGAGUCUGCAGUGUAAGACAAAGGACAGACGGCGCCAAAGGACAAACAGGAGGUGCUUUGGGGUGCACUGUCAGUCCUGUCACGACUGAGAAACCUUUCAUCCUUUAUCUGUGCAGGUGGGAGAAGGUACGGCCAGCUGCCUAUUAGAGGAACUUUUGUUGGCUUUUGAUUGUAAGUGGAUGGUAUGUAAGGUACAUGUAGAACAGAAUUAAGUUGUUCUGCUUUGAUGGCACACAAUCUGAGAGAGCUCUCUAACAGGGCAGAGCAACGACAAUGGCCUGGAUAUAAAAAUAUCUAGAAAGACUGGCUAAAAUGGAGAAGCAGUAGGGCAGUGUGCUGGAGGAACUGUCUCUACAGAGCCCAGAGGAGGGCCACUAAUGAUCACAGGGCUGGAGCACCUCUCCUAUGAGGAAAAGUAGUAGGAACUGGGCUUGUUUAGUAUGAGAAGGGAAGGCUCCGGAGAGAGUACAUUGUGGCCUUUCAGUACUUGAAGGGGGCGUAUAAACAGGAAAGGGAACAGGUGUUUAUGAUGGUGGACAGUGUUAGGUGAGGUUUCGAUUGGAUAUUAGGAGCUUUUUCAUCCAGAGGGUGGUGAUGCACUGAACAGGUUGCCCAAGGACGCUGUGGAUGCCCCAUCCCUGCAGGCAUUCAAGGCCAGGCUGGAUGUGG
rnacentral:lncRNA from 1 species